rnacentral:rRNA from 1 species
CACGUAGGGGGCGAGCGUUGUCCGGAUUCAUUGGGCGUAAAGCGCGCGCAGGCGGCUCGGAAAGUCGGGGGUGAAAACUCGGGGCUCAACCCCGGGCGUGCAUCCGAUACUGCCGGGCUUGAGGCAGGUAGGGGAGAACGGAAUUCCCGGUGUAGCGGUGAAAUGCGCAGAUAUCGGGAGGAACACCGGUGGCGAAGGCGGUUCUCUGGGCCUGUACUGACGCUGAGGAGCGAAAGCGUGGGGAGCGAACAGG